CAUAUUUAAUAGAAUUAAUUAUUAAUAUAGCCUGCUCAAUGCAAUGUAAAUAGCCGCAGUUCCUACUGUGCUAAGGUAGCAUAAUCAUUUGCCUUUUAAUUAAAGACUAGAAUGAAAGGUAUAACAUUUAAAUUACUAUAUAAAAUCUUUAUAUUUAAAUUUAAUUUAAAUGUAAAAAAGCAUUUAUUCUCAAGAAAGACGAUAAGACCCUAUUGAACUUAACUUUAGUUUAACUGGGGUAGUUAAAUAAUUAAUACUUUAUAUAAAAAUUUCAAUAAAAAUGACCUAACAUAAUUAAUUUAAUGAACAAGUUACCAUAGGGAUAACAGCGUAAUAUUUUUCUAUAGAUCUUAUAAAAAAAAAAGAUUACGACCUCGAUGUUGAAUUAAUUAUUCUAAUAAAAGCAAAA
rnacentral:rRNA from 1 species